UGCCCCUUACUCUGGGGAGCUAAUGGGCCAGAGAAAUGGGAAAAUUAAAAGAAAGGACUUCCGGACCCCCAGGGGGAAAGAGUUUUGGGGGCAGUGAGAGAUAGAAGGUGGGUUCUGGUCGCACUGAGAGACCAGGACUGAAGGGAAAGGAAGGUUGAGGAAUUGAGGUGCUGGGUGCCCAGGGCUUUGGAGGCAGGGCCAGGGAAAGAGGGGAGGGGCCGAGGGUCUGGGAAGUGGGCGGGGAUUGGAAGCCGACAGACAGCAGCUGCGGUGUUUCCAUGUUUCCGAGUUGUUUCCCAGUAGUUCCUCUCAGUUCCAUUUCCAGUUGUUUCCAAGCCAUUAAAUUCUUUCCAGGCGAGAUAAGGGUCCCGCCUGUCCCACCCAGGGUGUGUCACGUGUAGGGGGGAGGUUCAGACGAACAGAAGCAGGAGAGCCUGGAAGGGGGAUGGAGCGAAGACGGAGCCCCUGUGCCCCUGGAGGCAUCUCUCAGUCGUCACAGCCCCGCUGAACCGUGAGUCAUGGGUGCAAAGCUCUCUGCCAAGAACAAGUUUUAGGAUUCUCUCUGCAGACUCCGUGCCCUUCCCAGACCUGAGAGUCCUGACUCUGCUUCAUUUCAGCACUUCCUAAAGGCUCCAGACCCCCAGAACUCCCUCCCGGGCCUUGCAGUCCACGUGCUGCCACCUGGGGAGUCCCCACCUGGGUGCUCAAAGAAGCUCCCUAGGGCACCUUCCUGGAGCUCCGGCUCAGCGGUUCCAGCCAGAGCGCUUGGGGUUCCACCAGCACUUUCCUCCUGAGGUUCAGCUGGCCACCAGCUCCAGCAACUCCAGGGCCCAGAGCCCCGGCUCACCGAUAACCACCUCCACCUUGCAGGGGCUCACCGAGCCGCCACCCGACCGUCGAUCUGGGCUGCGACAGUGAGAAGGAGGGAGUCUGCAGCGAGCAGGGGGAGGAGAAGGGGAGGACCAGCAUGAGCAAAUUCCUGGAGAAAUGACGGAUGAGGCUUGGGCACUGGCUGGACAAGGGCUUGGCUGAAGACCAGGACAUAGGAGACUUGGGAAAGAAGGGGCUGAAAAGGAGACUUUGGCCAGAUGAGAAAUAUCCAGGCUGAGGGAGACCCCAUCCCAGGCUUCACACGGAGGAUAAAGUUCUUGCCACCCAGCUACAAUCCUCACCAUUGAGGAGUAGCUUGGUCAAGUCACAGGUCAUGGGUGAAAGGGACGGGCAGGAGGCUGUGUGUGCCCGAUUCUGCCGCUUGUGUUGGGGCACAGGUGUCCGUACCCUGGUCAGGUCCCCAGGGUCGUGGGUGUGGUGAUCCUGGGUCAGGGUGCGCUGGCCCAGCACCUGGCUGUGCCCUAUGCCCUGUGAACUCCCACUGGCUGAGGGCGAAGGCUUGCAUGUUCCCUCGCGUGGGUGUCCCCGUGUGUCCGUGUGUCUGGGUGUGUGUGUGGCUGUUUUUUUUUUAGUGGCUUUGAUGGGGAGGAUGAAAUCAGUUUCUUGGAUAGAGCUGGGCUCAGCUUCCUUCCUCUGCCUUGGCCCGAAGCCCCCAGAGCCUGGAAUAGGUAACAGCUUCCCUCAGAUCUCCAGGCAGGGGUUGGGGGAAAGGAGAUGAAAGGACGAAGGAGGGUCUGAAACAGCAUUAUGUGGAGAGAGCAGACUGCAGAGAACAGAUAUUCUCUGAUACCCCAGAUUCUAGUAAUUCUAAUGGUCAUAUCCUUUUUUUUUUUUUUCUUUUUGGUCCUAUACCCUGUCUUUGUUUUAUUUAUUUUUUGUUUAUUUUUAUUUAAAUUUUUAUUUAAUUUAUUUUUUUGGCCACACCACAUGGCAUGUGGGAUCCUAGUUCCCCAACCCGGGAUCGAACCCACACCCCCUGCAGUGCGAGCAUGGAGUCUUAACCACUGGACCGCCAGGGAAGUCCCUUGGUUUUGUUAUUUAGGAAGUAUGGUCACCACAGGUAUACUUGGCCCAGACAGUGACCAGAAGACGCUGGAGAGAAAGAAGCAAGAGCUGAAAGGGUGGCCCUGGGGUGUUUUGGAAGUCCACUUCUGAGGGGAGACGGGGUGCCAGAGUCAGAGAAGGGUGCGCGGCUCCAGACAUUCACAAGCUCACACGGCAUUAGGAGAAGCCACUGGGGGCCUGACAGACAUAAUUCCAGAAAAGCACUGGGCCUCGCAUAGAGCAGGUGCUUCAUAAACGCCUGUCAAGGGCUUCCCUGGUGGCACAGUGGUUAAGAAUCCGCCUGCCAUUGCAGGGGACACGGGUUCGAGCCCUGGUCCAGGAAGAUCCCGCAUGCUGCGGAGCGACUAAGCCCGUGCGCCACAACUACUGAAGCCCGCGUGCCUAGAGCCCGCGCGCCACCACAAGAGAAGCCACCGCAGUGAGAAGCUCACCCACCGCAACGAAGAGUAGCCCGCGCUCUCCACAACUAGAGAAAGCCCGCGCGCAGCAACGAA